GACGAACGCUGGCGGCGUGCUUAACACAUGCAAGUCGAACGGAAAGGCCCUGCUUUUGUGGGGUGCUCGAGUGGCGAACGGGUGAGUAACACGUGAGUAACCUGCCCUUGACUUUGGGAUAACUUCAGGAAACUGGGGCUAAUACCGGAUAGGAGCUCCUGCUGCAUGGUGGGGGUUGGAAAGUUUCGGCGGUUGGGGAUGGACUCGCGGCUUAUCAGCUUGUUGGUGGGGUAGUGGCUUACCAAGGCUUUGACGGGUAGCCGGCCUGAGAGGGUGACCGGCCACAUUGGGACUGAGAUACGGCCCAGACUCCUACGGGAGGCAGCAGUGGGGAAGAUUACACAAUGGGCGGAAGCCUGAUGCAGCAACGCCGCGUGCGGGAUGACGGCCUUCGGGUUGUAAACCGCUUUCGCCUGUGACGAAGCGUGAGUGACGGUAAUGGGUAAAGAAGCACCGGCUAACUACGUG
rnacentral:rRNA from 1 species